rnacentral:rRNA from 1 species
AUGGAGGCCGAGGCGGCCGCCGCCGCGGCCGCGGGGCAGCCGACGAAGAGGACUUUCCGCAAGUUCAGCUACCGCGGCUUCGACCUCGACGCGGUCCUCGACAUGUCCGCCGACAACCUCAUCCAGGUCCUCCCCGCCCGCGCCCACAGAAGGUUCUACAGGGGGUUCAAGAGGAAUUCAUUGAUGCUCAACAGGAGGCUGCGCAAGGCGAGAAUGGGGGCACCGGCUGGUGAGAAGCCCGGUGCCGUGAAGACUCAUCUGCGCAACAUGAUCAUCAUGCCAGAGAUGGUAGGCAGCCAGAUCGCAGUGUACAAUGGGAAAACCUUCAACCAGAUUGAGAUCAAGCCCGAGAUGAUUGGGCACCACCUCGCCGAGUUCUCCAUCAGCUACAAGCCCGUCAAGCACGGGAGGCCCGGCAUCGGCGCCACCCACUCCUCGAGGUUCAUUCCCCUCAAGUGA